UACGUAGGGUGCGAGCGUUGUCCGGAAUUACUGGGCGUAAAGAGCUCGUAGGUGGUUUGUCGCGUUGUUCGUGAAAACCGGGGGCUUAACCCUCGGCGUGCGGGCGAUACGGGCAGACGUUGAGUACUGCAGGGGAGGACUGGAAUUCCUGGUGUAGCGGUGGAAUGCGCAGAUAUCAGGAGGAACACCGGUGGCGAAGGCGGGUCUCUGGGCAGUAACUGACGCUGAGGAGCGAAAGCGUGGGGAGCGAACGGG
rnacentral:rRNA from 1 species